CAGGUUUACCUGUGUGACUGCGUACCUUUUGUAUAAUGGGUCAGCGACUUAUAUUCUGUAGCAAGGUUAACCGUAUAGGGGAGCCGCAGGGAAACCGAGUCUUAAUUGGGCGUUAAGUUGCAGGGUAUAGACCCGAAACCCGGUGAUCUAGCCAUGGGCAGGUUGAAGGUUGGGUAACACUAACUGGAGGACCGAACCGACUAAUGUUGAAAAAUUAGCGGAUGACCUGUGGCUGGGGGUGAAAGGCCAAUCAAACCGGGAGAUAGCUGGUUCUCCCCGAAAGCUAUUUAGGUAGCGCCUCGUGAAUUCAUCUCCGGGGGUAGAGCACUGUUUCGGCUAGGGGGCCAUCCCGGCUUACCAACCCGAUGCAAACUGCGAAUACCGGAGAAUGUUAUCACGGGAGACACACGGCGGGUGCUAACGUCCGUCGUGAAGAGGGAAACAACCCAGACCGCCAGCUAAGGUCCCAAAGUCAUGGUUAAGUGGGAAACGAUGUGGGAAGGCCCAGACAGCCAGGAUGUUGGCUUAGAAGCAGCCAUCAUUUAAAGAAAGCGUAAUAGCUCACUGGUCGAGUCGGCCUGCGCGGAAGAUGUAACGGGGCUAAACCAUGCACCGAAGCUGCGGCAGCGACGCUGAUGCGUUGUUGGGUAGGGGAGCGUUCUGUAAGCCUGUGAAGGUGGCCUGUGAGGGUUGCUGGAGGUAUCAGAAGUGCGAAUGCUGACAUAAGUAACGAUAAAGCGGGUGAAAAGCCCGCUCGCCGGAAGACCAAGGGUUCCUGUCCAACGUUAAUCGGGGCAGGGUGAGUCGACCCCUAAGGCGAGGCCGAAAGGCGUAGUCGAUGGGAAACGGGUUAAUAUUCCCGUACUUGGUGUUACUGCGAAGGGGGGACGGAGAAGGCUAUGUUGGCCGGGCGACGGUUGUCCCGGUUUAAGCGUGUAGGUGUGUGUUCCAGGUAAAUCCGGUUCACUUUAACACUGAGGCGUGACGACGAGGCACUACGGUGCUGAAGCAACAAAUGCCCUGCUUCCAGGAAAAGCCUCUAAGCAUCAGGUAACAUCAAAUCGUACCCCAAACCGACACAGGUGGUCAGGUAGAGAAUACCAAGGCGCUUGAGAGAACUCGGGUGAAGGAACUAGGCAAAAUGGUGCCGUAACUUCGGGAGAAGGCACGCUGACACGUAGGUGAAGUGAUUUACUCAUGGAGCUGAAGUCAGUCGAAGAUACCAGCUGGCUGCAACUGUUUAUUAAAAACACAGCACUGUGCAAACACGAAAGUGGACGUAUACGGUGUGACGCCUGCCCGGUGCCGGAAGGUUAAUUGAUGGGGUCAGCGCAAGCGAAGCUCCUGAUCGAAGCCCCGGUAAACGGCGGCCGUAACUAUAACGGUCCUAAGGUAGCGAAAUUCCUUGUCGGGUAAGUUCCGACCUGCACGAAUGGCGUAAUGAUGGCCAGGCUGUCUCCACCCGAGACUCAGUGAAAUUGAACUCGCUGUGAAGAUGCAGUGUACCCGCGGCAAGACGGAAAGACCCCGUGAACCUUUACUAUAGCUUGACACUGAACACUGGUCCUUGAUGUGUAGGAUAGGUGGGAGGCUUUGAAGUGUGGACGCCAGUCUGCAUGGAGCCAUCCUUGAAAUACCACCCUUUAAUGGCUGGUGUUCUAACGUAGACCCGUAAUCCGGGUUGCGGACAGUGUCUGGUGGGUAGUUUGACUGGGGCGGUCUCCUCCUAAAGAGUAACGGAGGAGCACGAAGGUUGGCUAAUCCUGGUCGGACAUCAGGAGGUUAGUGCAAUGGCAUAAGCCAGCUUGACUGCGAGCGUGACGGCGCGAGCAGGUGCGAAAGCAGGUCAUAGUGAUCCGGUGGUUCUGAAUGGAAGGGCCAUCGCUCAACGGAUAAAAGGUACUCCGGGGAUAACAGGCUGAUACCGCCCAAGAGUUCAUAUCGACGGCGGUGUUUGGCACCUCGAUGUCGGCUCAUCACAUCCUGGGGCUGAAGUAGGUCCCAAGGGUAUGGCUGUUCGCCAUUUAAAGUGGUACGCGAGCUGGGUUUAGAACGUCGUGAGACAGUUCGGUCCCUAUCUGCCGUGGGCGCUGGAGAACUGAGGGGGGCUGCUCCUAGUACGAGAGGACCGGAGUGGACGCAUCACUGGUGUUCGGGUUGUCAUGCCAAUGGCACUGCCCGGUAGCUAAAUGCGGAAGAGAUAAGUGCUGAAAGCAUCUAAGCACGAAACUUGCCCCGAGAUGAGUUCUCCCUGAGACUUAGAGUCUCCUGAAGGAACGUUGAAGACGACGACGUUGAUAGGCCGGGUGUGUAAGCGCAGCGAUGCGUUGAGCUAACCGGUACUAAUGAACCGUGAGGCUUAACC
rnacentral:rRNA from 1 species